GAACUGAAGAGUUUGAUCCUGGCUCAGAUUGAACGCUGGCGGCAUGCCUUACACAUGCAAGUCGAACGGUAACGCGGGGCAACCUGGCGACGAGUGGCGAACGGGUGAGUAAUAUAUCGGAACGUGCCCAGUAGUGGGGGAUAGCCCGGCGAAAGCCGGAUUAAUACCGCAUACGACCUACUGGUGAAAGCGGGGGAUCGCAAGACCUCGCGCUAUUGGAGAGGCCGAUAUCAGAUUAGGUAGUUGGUGGGGUAAAAGCCUACCAAGCCAACGAUCUG
rnacentral:rRNA from 1 species